UAGGACCUUAAAUAAGUCCAAAAUUUAGAUGAGCAUUAUUAAGCUGCACUAUUAUUCAACUCUAUAUAAUUAUUUCAUCCACCUGUCUGGUGUACACUUUUAUUCAGCUGAUGCCACAAUCCGAUACCCCAUAUUUAUACCCAUGUAGGAACGAAUUGUGUAGGAGCAGGGUCUGGAGUGAAUCCUGUAGAAGGAGAGCGACAAGGGCAUAAACACCGCAUAUCCUUACAACAGCACUUGCGCUCAAUAUAUCCAGGAUAACAAUCUUUGACAUCCUUGCACUUAACUCCUACGAUGCCUCUAGCCUCUACAGCUAAUUGCAUACCUGCCAUAAAAUAGAGAGUUUCAAGUUCCAAAAUAAAGUCUAAGACCACACACACCAAAAAUCAAGUUAGUAAAGACAAAAUCUGCUCUAACUCAAAAUUCACUGGGGUAGACAAAAUUUAGAAUACAGGCUAUUCAAAAAAAAAAUAUAUAUAUAUAUAUAUAUAUAUAAUCAGCUAGUCCAGUACCAUUUGAUCUAGUAGCAUAUGUCUCAUCUUGUAAGUGGGAGAUCGUGAACUCACAACAGACUCAUUGUAGUAUACGAGUUGUUAAACCAGCCACUUUAGCUAAAUUGAUAUUAAUCCAAAAAAGGGUUAUAUUCUUGUAGUAACCUAACCCUUGAAUAUAAGCAUAUUUUUGGUCUAAAUGAGACUUUGUCCUUCAAUUGAAGACGAAUUUGUAGUUUUGUAACUUUACUUACCCAGUGCAAUGAACAAGAGUAGAACAACAAAACCGAUACUUGCAGAGAACUUGCCCAUGACUAGUCGGAAACUCGGAAUUGUAAGAUAAACGAAAUGUGCUUUGUUGAAAGAAAA
rnacentral:lncRNA from 1 species